AGAGUUUGAUCCUGGCUCAGGACGAACGCUGGCGGCGUGCUUAACACAUGCAAGUCGAACGGAAAGGCCCUUCGGGGUACUCGAGUGGCGAACGGGUGAGUAACACGUGGGUGAUCUGCCCUGCACUUUGGGAUAAGCCUGGGAAACUGGGUCUAAUACCGAAUAGGACUACGGCCUUCAUGGGUUGUGGUGGAAAGCUUUUGCGGUGUGGGAUGGGCCCGCGGCCUAUCAGCUUGUUGGUGGGGUAAUGGCCUACCAAGGCGACGACGGGUAGCCGGCCUGAGAGGGUGACCGGCCACACUGGGACUGAGAUACGGCCCAGACUCCUACGGGAGGCAGCAGUGGGGAAUAUUGCACAAUGGGCGCAAGCCUGAUGCAGCGACGCCGCGUGAGGGAUGACGGCCUUCGGGUUGUAAACCUCUUUCAGCAGGGACGAAGCGCAAGUGACGGUACCUGUAGAAGAAGGACCGGCCAACUACGUGCCAGCCGCCGCGGUAAUAC
rnacentral:rRNA from 1 species